GAGAAAAGGUAGCUUCGGCCUCCGGCCGAGGACGAGCUCGCGGCGGAUUAGCUUGUUGGUGGGGUAACGGCCCACCAAGGCGACGAUCCGUAGCUGGUCUGAGAGGACGAUCAGCCACACUGGGACUGAGACACGGCCCAGACUCCUACGGGAGGCAGCAGUGGGGAAUCUUGCGCAAUGGGCGAAAGCCUGACGCAGCGACGCCGCGUGCGGGAAGAAGGCCUUCGGGUUGUAAACCGCUUUCAGGAGGGACGAAGCCACUCGGGUUAAUAGCCCAGAGGGUGACGGUACCUCCAGAAGAAGCCCCGGCUAACUACGUGCCAGCAGCCGCGGUAAUACGUAGGGGGCAAGCGUUGUCCGGAUUUAUUGGGCGUAAAGCGCGUGUAGGCGGCUAGGUAGGUCCGCUGUGAAAACUCGAGGCUCAACCUCGAGACGUCGGUGGAAACCCUCUGGCUAGAGUCCGGAAGAGGAGAGUGGAAUUCCCGGUGUAGCGGUGAAAUGCGCAGAUAUCGGGAAGAACACCCGUGGCGAAGGCGGCUCUCUGGGACGGUACUGACGCUGAGACGCGAAAGCGUGGGGAGCAAAC
rnacentral:rRNA from 1 species